GGGAAAGGUAUGUUCUGAUUAACACAGCCAGUUUGAGCAUUUUGGUUGAAUUUUUGUUAGGAUGACUCCUGACACAUGGAAAGAUUAGAACUUAAACCUGUGAUUUUUGUGGUAAAUAUGAUUUUUGCUUAGAAGCUCAAAUUGUCAGGAUAUUGUUAGUACUUGUAAUAAAGAAAUUCUUGAACAUUGCUUACAUAGAUCCUGAGAUUGUCCAGGUUGAUCUCAUAAAAAAUUUGUUCAUCUAAGUAGUUUCUUCAUUUUGUUAAAGAAUGUUAUAUCUCAUUGUAUCAUUUGGUGUUUCUUGUACAG
rnacentral:misc_RNA from 1 species